UAGCAUUCAGAAGCGAGAAUGUUGACAUGAGUAGCGACAAAGCGGGUGAGAGACCCGCUCGCCGAAAGUCCAAGGGUUCCUGCUUAAAGCUAAUCUGAGCAGGGUGAGCCGACCCCUAAGGCGAGGCCGAAAGGCGUAGUCGAUGGGAACCAGGUUAAUAUUCCUGGGCCAGGAGGAAGUGACGGAUCGUAGCUGUUGUCUGGUCUUAUCGGAUUGAUCAGGCUUCGAAGCGGUCCCUGGAAAUAGCCCUCCAUGAGAUCGUACCCUAAACCGACACAGGUGGACUGGUAGAGCAUACCAAGGCGCUUGAGAGAACUACGUUGAAGGAACUCGGCAAAAUGCCUCCGUAACUUCGGGAGAAGGAGGCCCCGUUGGUGGGCAACCACUGGCGGGGGGCACAAACUAGGGGGUGGCGACUGUUUACUAAAAACACAGGACUCUGCGAAGCCCAAAGGCGACGUAUAGGGUCUGACGCCUGCCCGGUGCCGGAAGGUUAAAAGGAGGAGUGCAAGCUCUGAAUUGAAGCCCCGGUAAACGGCGGCCGUAACAAUAACGGUCCUAAGGUAGCGAAAUUCCUUGUCGGGUAAGUUCCGACCUGCACGAAUGGCGUAACGACUUCCCCGCUGUCUCCAACGUAGACUCAGCGAAAUUGAAUUCCCCGUGAAGAUGCGGGGUUCCCGCGGUCAGACGGAAAGACCCCGUGCACCUUUACUACAGCUUCACACUGGCAUCAGGUCAGGCAUGUGCAGGAUAGGUGGUAGGCUUUGAAGCGGGGACGCCAGUUCCCGGGGAGCCUCCCUUGAGAUACCACCCUUGCCUUGCCUGAUGUCUAACCGCGGACCGUUAUCCGGUUCCGGGACCCUGUGUGGCGGGUAGUUUGACUGGGGCGGUCGCCUCCCAAAGAGUAACGGAGGCGCGCGAUGGUGGGCUCAGGUUGGUCGGAAAUCAACCGUCGAGUGCAAUGGCAUAAGCCCGCCUGACUGCGAGACUGACAAGUCGAGCAGAGACGAAAGUCGGCCAUAGUGAUCCGGUGGUCCCGCGUGGAAGGGCCAUCGCUCAACGGAUAAAAGGUACGCCGGGGAUAACAGGCUGAUACUGCCCAAGAGUCCAUAUCGACGGCAGUGUUUGGCACCUCGAUGUCGGCUCAUCACAUCCUGGGGCUGGAGAAGGUCCCAAGGGUACGGCUGUUCGCCGUUUAAAGUGGUACGUGAGCUGGGUUUAGAACGUCGUGAGACAGUUCGGUCCCUAUCUGCCGUGGGUGUCGGAGACUUGAGAGGAGUUGCCCCUAGUACGAGAGGACCGGGGUGAACGCACCACUGGUGGACCUGUUGUCGUGCCAACGGCAGUGCAGGGUAGCUAUGUGCGGACAGGAUAACCGCUGAAGGCAUCUAAGCGGGAAGCCCCCCUCAAAACCAGGUCUCCCUUGAGGGCCGUGGAAGACCACCACGUCGAUAGGCCGGAGGUAUAAGUGCAGCAAUGCAUUCAGCCGACCGGUACUAAUCGCAC
rnacentral:rRNA from 1 species